GACGAACGCUGGCGGCGUGCCUAAUACAUGCAAGUAGAACGCUGAAGGAGGAGCUUGCUUCUCUGGAUGAGUUGCUAACGGGUGAGUAACGCGUAGGUAACCUGCCUGGUAGCGGGGGAUAACUAUUGGAAACGAUAGCUAAUACCGCAUAAUAGCAGUUGUUGCAUGACAACUGUUUGAAAGGUGCAAUUGCACCACUACCAGAUGGACCUGCGUUGUAUUAGCUAGUUGGUGGGGUAACGGCUCACCAAGGCGACGAUACAUAGCCGACCUGAGAGGGGGGUCGGCCACACUGGGACUGAGACACGGCCCAGACUCCAACGGGAGGCAGCAGUAGGGAAUCUUCGGCAAUAGACGGAAGUCUGACCGAGCAACGCCGCGUGAGUGAAGAAGGUUUUCGGAUCGUAAAGCUCUGUUGUAAGAGAAGAACGAGUGUGAGAGUGGAAAGUUCACGCUGUGACGGUAUCUUACCAGAAAGGGACGGCUAACUACGUG
rnacentral:rRNA from 1 species